GAUGAACGCUGGCGGCGUGCCUAAUACAUGCAAGUCGAGCGAACAGAUAAGGAGCUUGCUCCUUUGACGUUAGCGGCGGACGGGUGAGUAACACGUGGGUAACCUACCUAUAAGACUGGGAUAACUUCGGGAAACCGGAGCUAAUACCGGAUAACAUUUGGAACCGCAUGGUUCUAAAGUGAAAGAUGGUUUUGCUAUCACUUAUAGAUGGGCCCGCGCCGUAUUAGCUAGUUGGUAAGGUAACGGCUUACCAAGGCGACGAUACGUAGCCGACCUGAGAGGGUGAUCGGCCACACUGGAACUGAGACACGGUCCAGACUCCUACGGGAGGCAGCAGUAGGGAAUCUUCCGCAAUGGGCGAAAGCCUGACGGAGCAACGCCGCGUGAGUGAUGAAGGGUUUCGGCUCGUAAAACUCUGUUAUUAGGGAAGAACAAAUGUGUAAGUAACUGUGCACGUCUUGACGGUACCUAAUCAGAAAGCCACGGCUAACUACGUG
rnacentral:rRNA from 1 species